rnacentral:rRNA from 1 species
AGCUCCAAUAGCGUAUAUUAAAGUUGUUGCAGUUAAAAAGCUCGUAGUUGGAUUUCUGGUUUGUGUCCCGGGUCGUCCCGAAAUGGGUCUGUACUAGGAGACGCAAGCCAUCCUUGCGGCGAGGCGUUCUGCCAUUUAUUUGGUGGUUCGUUGAGCCGCAUCGUUUACUGUGAACAAAUUAGAGUGUUUAAAGCAGGCAUAUGCCUUGAAUACAUUAGCAUGGAAUAAUAAGAUAGGACUUCGGUAAUAUUUUGUUGGUUCAUUAUUGAGGUAAUGAUUAAUAGGGAUAGUUGGGGGUAUUCAUAUUCAAUUGUCAGAGGUGAAAUUCUUGGAUUUAUGGAAGAUGAACAACUGCGAAAGCAUUUACCAAGGAUGUUUUCA